UACAGAGGUCUCAAGCGUUGUUCGGAUUCAUUGGGCGUAAAGGGUGCGUAGGCGGCGCGGUAAGUCGGGUGUGAAAUCUUGGAGCUUAACUCCGAAACUGCAUUCGAUACUGCCGUGCUUGAGGACUGGAGAGGAGACUGGAAUUUACGGUGUAGCGGUGAAAUGCGUAGAUAUCGUAAGGAAGACCAGUGGCGAAGGCGGGGUCUCUGGACAGUUCCUGACG
rnacentral:rRNA from 1 species